CCAAUGUAUACCCGCCCCGCGCUUAUUUUUAAGUAACUUAUAACUCCAAUUAGCGUAUGCAAUUCAUGAAGCAAAUUUCCUUUGAUCGGUAAUCUCUACGAGUAUGGUAAAAGCCCCUGCAUAAGACAUGAAGCCCCAAAACUAAAAACUAAAAACUUAAACCUGUUACCUCAAUUCCAACACUAUUCAUAUAUUCGCAUAGGAUUAGGAUCAUCACUCUGACAGCUUACAAAUAAAAUCGCUAACAUCAAAUUGUUAAAAGCAAUCCCGUUUACAAGUUCCUAACCAGUUCACAGGGUUGAGCAGGUUAUUGAAUUAAAAUAAGAAUUCUAAACAAAAAAAGACAAUUACUAUUUCUUUAACCUCCUUUCCAACACCUUACAAAAGUAAAAUAAAACUGCGAACUUCAAAUUGCUAAAUAAAAUUGCGAACUUCAAAUUGCUAAAAGUAAUCACAUGGGGUAGCGUCUGAUUUCUAAAGUUAUUUCAGUCCUAACCCGCACCCGC
rnacentral:lncRNA from 1 species